AAGGUAGCUCAGCUGGCUAGAGCGCUGGUCUCAUAAGCCGGAGGUCGAGGGUUCGAGUCCCUCUCUUG
rnacentral:tRNA from 1 species